GCUGCUGAGAGUGCGGGUGGGCUGGGUGCCCUGAACUGUUUGCAAAUUGCCAAAGCACCUGGUGGUGGAAGGAUGUAAAUGAGAAGAGCACCCACAUGGUCUGGAUCACACUGUGGACACUGGGAUCAACCAUCUCCUCUCUGACGGCCGCCCCGGGGAUUGUCAGGCGGACCCUUCAGAAAGCGUGAAGUUGAGGCUGGUGAACGGGGGCAGUCCAUGCGCCGGGAGAGUGGAGGUUCACUACAAGGGGAACUGGAGGACUGUGUAUGGUAGCAGCUGGGACCUGCAGGACGCGGCGGUGGUGUGUCGGGAGCUGGGCUGCGGCGCCGCGAUGGGAGCCCCGGGCGGAGCUCACUUUGGACCGGGGUCCGGACCCGUUGUGACGUAUUAUGUUGAGUGCACCGGGAGCGAGGCCGCACUGCGGGAGUGUAAAUCACGGACAUGGGGGGACUAUGGCGUUCCACACUCCAACGAUGCCGGCGUUAUCUGCGAAGGACAAGUGCCAAGAUUGGUACCCAAAGAUGAUCAGUGCUCGGGAAGACUGGAAGUGCUGUAUGAUGAAACCUGGGGAACCGUGUGUGACCUGGCCUGGGAUAUGGAUGAUGCCAAUGUGGUGUGCAAUCAGCUUCAUUGUGGAGUCGCCGUGUCUGUUC